UUUUAGAAGCGCAAAGGCCUAUGUGCUAUCAAGUUGUUUCCAAUACUUGGACUUCCGAAUUGGCGAUUUACUUUAUUAGACUUAAUCUAAAAUAUUUGGCAUACCUAAAAAAGCAAGGUCAUAAUUUUUAGAUAUCAUUUACUUAGUGAUCGAAAUGGCUCAAAAUCAAUGACUGAAAAUAAAAAUCCUAUAUAAAGUGGUGAUAUGAUACUAAAAUUUUAGAUCAAAGAUAUUAAUUUUAUUUUAUGUGGUAUAAAGAAUUUGUUAUCACAAUUUCACGUGAUUUAAAUAUUUCUACACUAUUAAACUUACAAAUGGCUCAUUACAACCAUUACCAUUGUUAAUUUUGGACUUCUUUCACUAGGUAAAUGAUAUCGAAAAGUUGUGAAAUUUAUUUUCUAAGUGCUUUAAGUACUUUAGAUCAAGUCUAACGGAGCGAAUCUUUAAUGCGGAAGUACCAACAUCGAAAAUGACUUGAUGGCACGGAGGCUACUGUACUUCUAAAAGCACACAAGCCUAGC
rnacentral:lncRNA from 1 species